GAUGAAGAACGUAGCGAAAUGCGAUAAGUAAUGUGAAUUGCAGAAUUCAGUGAAUCAUCGAAUCUUUGAACGCACAUUGCGCCCAUUAGCAUUCUAGUGGGCAUGCCUGCUCGAGCGUCAUUUCAACCCUUAAGCCCUGUUGCUUAGCGUUGGGAGCCUACAGUACUGUAGCUCCCCAAAGUUAGUGGCGGAGUCGGUUUCACACUCUAGACGUAGUAAUUUUUUCUCGUCUGUAGUUGAGCCGGUCCCCUGCCGUAAAACACCCAAUUUAUCAAGGUUGACCUCGGAUCAGGUAGGAAUACCCGCUGAACUUAAGCAUAUCAAUAAGCGGAGGA
rnacentral:misc_RNA from 1 species